ACACAAUCUUAAAGUGUUUCCAUCUUAGAAAAAUCUUUUCAAGUAUUUCUUUUGUGUUUUUUAACCUAUAAAAAAAGAGAUGAUGGAAUAUAUUUUAUAAACUGAAUUUUAUCUUACUCCUUUUCACUCUCCCAACUGCAGUUUAAUAGUCAGAUUUCCCUGAGCAUUGGAUUUAAGUAUAUAGGACCCAAAUAUUCCUCAGUAAAUUAUUUUGCUAACUACUUUGUCACUUUUGUGAUUUCACAUUUGAGAAAUAGGUUAAUUACAGAAAUCUACCU
ensembl:misc_RNA